UACGUAGGGUGCAAGCGUUGUUCGGAAUUACUGGGCGUAAAGCGCACGUAGGCGGGUUUACAAGUCGAUUGUGAAAUCCCCGGGCUCAAUCCGGGAAUGGCAGUCGAAACUGUAAGUCUUGAAUACCUGAGAGGGUGACGGAAUUCCUGGUGUAGAAGUGAAAUUCGUAGAUAUCAGGAGGAACACCGGAGGCGAAGGCGGUUGCCUGUCAGUGUAUUGACGCUGAGGUGCGAAAGCGUGGGGAGCAAACAGG
rnacentral:rRNA from 1 species